AUGACUCUGAUCUCCGUCCUCAUCUGGACUCUCCUCUGCUGCUGCUUCACAGAGUCCAGAGGACAGGUCACAGUGACUCAGCCUGGAGCAGUGAGCUCUGCUGUGGGAGGCUCCGUCUCCCUCUCCUGUCGGACCAGUCAGGAUGUUUAUUACAAUGGCAUAUACCACAGUUUAGCCUGGUACCAACAGAGAGAUGGAGGAACUCCUAAACUGAUCAUUUACUAUGCUGACAGUCUACAAUCAGGGAUUCCAGCUCGUUUUACAGGCAGUGGAUCAAAGUCUGACUUCACUCUGACCAUCAGUGGAGUCCAGGCUGAAGAUGCAGCAGUUUACUACUGUCAGAGUCGUCAUGUGAUCAACAGUCAGCGUGUGUUCACACAGUGA